rnacentral:rRNA from 1 species
UGGGGAAUAUUGGACAAUGGGCGCAAGCCUGAUCCAGCCAUGCCGCGUGAGUGAUGAAGGCCUUAGGGUUGUAAAGCUCUUUUAGCGGGGAAGAUAAUGACGGUACCCACAGAAAAAGCCCCGGCUAACUUCGUGCCAGCAGCCGCGGUAAUACGAAGGGGGCUAGCGUUGCUCGGAAUUACUGGGCGUAAAGCGCACGUAGGCGGACUCUUAAGUCGGUGGUGAAAUCCUGGAGCUCAACUCCAGAACUGCCUUCGAUACUGGGAGUCUUGAGUUCGGGAGAGGUGAGUGGAACUGCGAGUGUAGAGGUGAAAUUCGUAGAUAUUCGCAAGAACACCAGUGGCGAAGGCGGCUCACUGGCCCGAUACUGACGCUGAGGUGCGAAAGCGUGGGGAGCAAACA